AAAUAAACAUUAAAACAUCAAACAAACAAACAAACAAAAACGCAGGCCCAAAAUGGAGUCACUUAUGCAAAGGGCCGAAGUCAACAAACCAAGGCUCAAUACCCAACCCAGGAGCAGGCUUAGCCUCCCUGCCCCCCGACCCCAGGUGGUAACAUUUAACUAGUCAACCUGGAAUUUCCUGGUUAGCACUAGGAAAUUUACUGAUAGACUCUUUGAUCCCCCUUAGGAGGACAACCUUGCCUAAAACCAUGCAUUCUUUGCUAAUAAUUUUUGUUUCCACUCCCUAGCUACCUUUAAAAACCUUUCCUUUCCCGUAGCGGGAGCCGGAGCUCCCCUCUACUUGCUAGAUGGGACGCUGCCCCGUUCAUCAGCCACCCGACAAAGCCAACCAGGUCUUUAAAACGUAUUAGGUUAAAUGUUUGUUGUUUACCACUGAGUUUGUAUCCCCGCCUCCGCCUCCUUGCUGUCAGCGUGACCUGGGCAAAUGGCCUGUCUCUCCGCCCCUCGGGCCUCCUCAUCUGUGAAAUGGGGAUCAUGAAAGUGCCGACUUCAGAGUCCCGGGGAGCGGGAUCUGCGUGUCAGUCCGCUUAAGGUGCUCAGAACAGCAUCUGACAGGUUUGUGUUUCUAAGAGGCAGCUGCGGUCAGCAUUGCCUUUAUCUGAGAGUUUGUGUGCGGAUCAAAGAGAGGAAAAAAGAGGCGUGGUCAGCCUUUGCUCUGCUUAUUGCUGGGGGCGGGGCUGCUUCUCCUGGGGGUGUAGCAUAGCUGCCUGUGGCAGGAGGGGGAUCAGAGUUCCUGGGCGGGGGCGGGGGGGGGGGCGGUUGGUGGUUGCUGGUUUUGUGUGUGUGUGUGUGUUUGCCAUUGAGGAAAUAUUGAUCGAGGACCCACUGUGUGCCAGCCGCUGUUCCGGACGCUAGAGAGACCGCAGUGCACAAGCAGA